rnacentral:rRNA from 1 species
CAUGCUGUAAACGUUGGGCACUAGGUGUGGGGACCUUGUGGUUUCUGCGCCGUAGCUAACGCAUUAAGUGUCCCGCCUGGGGAGUACGGCCGCAAGGCUAAAACUCAAAGGAAUUGACGGGGACCCGCACAAGCGGCGGAGCAUGCGGAUUAAUUCGAUGCAACGCGAAGAACCUUACCAGGGCUUGACAUCCUCGGACGACACUAGAGAUAGUGUUUUCUCUUCGGAGACUGAGAGACAGGUGG